ensembl:lncRNA novel transcript
UUCAUAUGACAACAUGAGAAUAAAGAAAUAAAAUAUAGGAUAAAAGAAAAGGGAUUGGAGCCUAUUUUAUGUAAAAUGGUACAAUAAUAACUUUAAGUAGUCCACAAAGUUAAGGAUAUAUCUUGUAAUCACUGCAGCAAAUAUUAACAGUAAUUAAUACUGUAAUGCAAAGAGUAUAAAAGUAAUGCAAGGAGGUAUAGCUAAAGUGCCAAUAAAGUAAUUAAAAGAAAAAAUCUAAAACAUGUUAAAAUCCAAAGAAGUCAGGAAAGAGAGAACAGAAGAACAAAAAACAAUCAGGCAAACAGGAAAUAGAUAAUAAAAUCGUAAAUCUAAAUCUAAACAUAUGAAUAAAUGUGUUCAAUAUUAGUGAGUUAAACACUUCACUUCAGAGGCAGAGGUUGUCAACAUGGAUUUUACAAAGCACUACCCAACUAUAUGCUGUCUAUAAGAGUUGCACUUUAAAAAUAAAAACAAUGUAGGUUGAAGGUAAAUGGCUAGAAAGUGGAUAUACCACACAAAUUGAAAAUAUAAGAGACUGGAGUAGCUAUAUUAAUAUCAGAAAAAAUAGAUAUAAAAGAACAUUUCUAAAUGAUAAAAGUUUGUUCAUCAGGAAUACAUAAUAAACAUAAAUGUGUACAUGCUGAAUAACAGAGCUUCCAGAUACAUGAGGUAAAAAUGGACAGAAUCAACUGGAUACAUGUCACUAUUAUGGCACCAUGUAAUUAUGGGUUUAGGCCCCAUGAUUCCAAUUUAGGUUAGAAAGCAUUUCUUAAUGAUUUCUAUAUGUUGGCUUUAGGUGAUGCAAAAAUAAUAUGACAAGAUCCAUGUCUUCAAUGAGCUACAAUCCUACUGGGACAUGAGACUGUGCUUAUAAUAUGAUGAAAGAAUAAGAAAAUUUUAAAGAUGAAAACACAGCAGCAACAGGUGCCAUUUUGGAAGCAAGAAGCAGAGAACA